rnacentral:rRNA from 1 species
UACGGAGGGUGCAAGCGUUAUCCGGAAUCACUGGGUGUAAAGGGAGCGCAGACGGCAGCGCAAGUCUGAUGUGAAAUCCCGGGGCUCAACCCCGGAACUGCAUUGGAAACUGUGCAGCUCGAGUAUCGGAGAGGUAAGCGGAAUUCCUAGUGUAGCGGUGAAAUGCGUAGAUAUUAGGAGGAACACCGGCGGCGAAGGCGGCUUACUGGACGAAGACUGACGUUGAGGCUCGAAAGCGUGGGGAGCAAACAGGAUUAGAUACCCCGGUAGU